AACGAACGCUGGCGGCAGGCUUAACACAUGCAAGUCGAACGCCCCGCAAGGGGAGUGGCAGACGGGUGAGUAACGCGUGGGAACAUACCCUUUUCUACGGAAUAGCUCUGGGAAACUGGAAUUAAUACCGUAUACGCCCUACGGGGGAAAGAUUUAUCGGGGAAGGAUUGGCCCGCGUUGGAUUAGCUAGUUGGUGGGGUAAAGGCCUACCAAGGCGACGAUCCAUAGCUGGUCUGAGAGGAUGAUCAGCCACAUUGGGACUGAGACACGGCCCAAACUCCUACGGGAGGCAGCAGUGGGGAAUAUUGGACAAGGGGCGCAAGCCUGAUCCAGCCAUGCCGCGUGAGUGAUGAAGGCCUUAGGGUUGUAAAGCUCUUUCACCGAUGAAGAUAAUGACGGUAGUCGGAGAAGAAGCCCCGGCUAACUUCGUG
rnacentral:rRNA from 1 species